UGGACAUACUGAAGAUAUGCAAAUGGUGAAUACUACUGGACCUCAGCAGAUAUUAGAUGAACUAAGCAGAAUCACAGCAGCUUCAGGGGAUCUUCCUGUAACCAGUGAGGACAUAAGUGCAAUUGCAGAAAAAGGGAAGGCUGUGGCAACUAUUAUGGCUGAUGAUAGCAGGGGAUUCCAAGUGGAUCCAGGACCUUCUUGGAGUAUUAGAUCUAAUACUUCAUGAUUGUUA
rnacentral:lncRNA from 1 species